rnacentral:pre_miRNA from 1 species
UAUAUACUCCUUCUGUUCGAAAAAGCUUGUCUCUAAAAUGGAUGUAUCUAGCACCAAGUUAGUGCUAGAUACAUCCAUUUGAGAGACCAGUUUUUCCGGACGGAGGGAGUAGGUU